rnacentral:rRNA from 1 species
GCGGUAACAGGAGAAGCUUGCUUCUCGCUGACGAGCGGCGGACGGGUGAGUAAUGUAUGGGGAUCUGCCCGAUAGAGGGGGAUAACUACUGGAAACGGUAGCUAAUACCGCAUAAUCUCUUAGGAGCAAAGCAGGGGAACUUCGGUCCUUGCGCUAUCGGAUGAACCCAUAUGGGAUUAGCUAGUUGGUGAGGUAAUGGCUCACCAAGGCGACGAUCCCUAGCUGGUCUGAGAGGAUGAUCAGCCACACUGGGACUGAGACACGGCCCAGACUCCAACGGGAGGCAGCAGUGGGGAAUAUUGCACAAUGGGCGCAAGCCUGAUGCAGCCAUGCCGCGUGUAUGAAGAAGGCCCUAGGGUUGUAAAGUACUUUCAGUCGGGAGGAAGGCGUUGAUGCUAAUAUCAUCAACGAUUGACGUUACCGACAGAAGAAGCACCGGCUAACUCCGUGCCAGCAGCCGCGGUAAUACGGAGGGUGCAAGCGUUAAUCGGAAUUACUGGGCGUAAAGCGCACGCAGGCGGUUGAUUAAGUUAGAUGUGAAAUCCCCGGGCUUAACCUGGGAAUGGCAUCUAAGACUGGUCAGCUAGAGUCUUGUAGAGGGGGGUAGAAUUCCAUGUGUAGCGGUGAAAUGCGUAGAGAUGUGGAGGAAUACCGGUG